UACGUAGGGGGCUAGCGUUGUCCGGAUUUAUUGGGCGUAAAGCGCGUGUAGGCGGCCAGGUAGGUCCGCUGUGAAAACUCGAGGCUCAACCUCGAGACGUCGGCGGAAACCCUCUGGCUAGAGUCCGGAAGAGGAGAGUGGAAUUCCUGGUGUAGCGGUGAAAUGCGCAGAUAUCAGGAAGAACACCAAUAGCGAAGGCAGCUCGCUGGGACGGUACUGACGCUAAGGCGCGAAAGCGUGGGGAGCGAACAGG
rnacentral:rRNA from 1 species